AAAAGACCUAACGGACUAAUCCCUUAUCUAUGAUCGUAGAUGCUAACGGGGCGGGAAUCGAUGUGGGGGACCCCUCCACCGCCUGUGUCUAUCUCCUGUCAAGUACGCUCCCUAGACAUAGAUUACGUACAGGGUAGUACUCUUGUAAAGAUAGAAAAUCACCGCGUGAACAUAACAUUACAUUAAGUUACGAAUGUAACUCCCAAAGGAUCGACCACUAUUCUAAAUAUAGUAAGGCGGAGAACUGUUGUUCAGUGGAGUGCCGGAGUGCGGAGGUUGUUCCCAUCAUUGAAGUCAGGGUGUGGACUGAGCCUUCCGAAUGAGAAAGAAGAAAAAUGCUUAGUUUCGUUGGAAAAACCAACGCAAAUAUCAUAUUGACUUUCUCUCGCCCUACUUCUAAAGAUAGAUAGAAAAGGUUGGAGAGAAUGACUUUCUGAAAUUCUCUCCUUUCUAAAGCUGCGCAAGGCGGCCCCCCCAGAACAAAGCCCCACCCCUCUUUUCCCCCCUUUAAUGAAGGACCCUCGCCUCGCUUCCUAUUCAUUUGUGGGUCUGGACCCGAGGGCCUUUUUUUUUCAAGAGGUGAUUUCGAGAAUCAACCAACGGAAAAAUCCGUAGCCCAGGUGACUCACAGCCUCCCUCUCGCCCAAAUAAAUGAAAUUUGGGCCCGAAGGCCUUUUUAAGAGGUGAUUUCGAGAAUCAACCAACGGAAAAAUUUGUAGCCCAGGUCACUCACAACCUCCCUCUCACCCAAAUAAAUGAAAUGGGAUGAAUCAAAUUAAUAAGCUUUUUGAUUGAUUCAGGGUGCAGCGAAGCCAAAUUAAAUCAAGGAAAUGGGGCUUACUUUUCCCGAGGCUGAUUCAUCCAAUUAAAAUUUAGCUAUGCUAAUGGAAGAGAAAAAGUUUUCAGAUGAGAUGGACCCCCAAGAGAUGAGCGAGAACCCCCAAUUUCUUAGGGGUCACACUCUGUCCCGCUUGGUGGACGAAAUCUUCUCUCCUUUUAGAAUUCUUUCUCCCACACACCUUUUUUUCCCUAUUUCACCGAUGAGGAAAGAAUAAUCUUCCAAGCAGACAGAGACAAAAAAUUUCCAUUAGAUUCAUUCCUAAGCUUGCUUUGUUGCAGCAAGAUGAUCAGUCCAGGAGUGCUGGAGAGAAGAGAAAGCGGUAAAAACCUCUCUUAUUCGGUCACCGAGAAGUCGGACGACUCUUCAGUAACCCAGGGUGAUCCGACCCCUUCGACGCUUUUUUCGCUGUAUACCCCCUCCAUCCUUCGGAAGUGGAAGAAAGGGUACUCUAAUUUGAAUACAUAGUAGGGCCCCAGAACGCUAAAAGGUGGGUACCCAGGGUGAUCCGACCCCUUCGAUGCUUUUUUGUUGUAUACCCCCUCCAUCCUUCGGAAGUGGAAGAAAGGAUACUCUAAUUUGAAUACAUAGUAGGUCCCCAGAACACUAAAAGGUGGGGGAACUAGAGUUGUCACGAUAGAAAAGAUAAAUAAAUAAAUGACUAUAAGGAACUAACGACUCUCUCUUCUUAAACAACCUAUAUCCUCCACACUUAAUCAACAUUUGAUAGAUUAUCCAACCCCUAGCAAUCUUAGUUAUUGGUUCGGUUCGUUAGCUGGUAUUUGUUUAGUCAUUCAGAUAGUGACUGGCGUUUUUUAGCUAUGCAUUACACACCUCAUGUAGAUCUAACUUCCAAUAGUGUAGAACACAUUAUGAGAGAUGUUGAAGGGGGCUGGUUGCUCCGUUAUAUUCAUGCUAAAGGGGCAAGUAUGUUUUUCAUUGUGGUUCACCUUCAUAUUUUUUGUGGUCUAUAUCAUGCCAGUUAUAGCAGUCCUAGGGAAUUUGUUAGGUGUCUCGGAGUUGUAAUCUUCCUAUUAAUGAUUGUGACAGCUUUUAUAGGAUAUGUACUACCUUGGGGUCAGAUGAGCUUUUGGGGAGCUACAGUAAUUACAAGCUUAGCUAGCGCCAUACCUGUAGUAGGAGAUACCAUAGUGACUUGGCUUUGGGGUGGGUUCUCCGUGGACAAUGCCACCUUAAAUAUUUUUUAGUCUUCAUCAUUUACUCCCCUUUAUUUUAGUAGGAGCCAGUCUUCUUCAUCUGGCCGCAUUGCAUCAAUAUGGAUCCAAUAAUCCAUUGGGUGUACAUGAGAUGGAUAAAAUUGCUUCUCACCCUUAUUUUUAUGUAAAGGAUUUAGUAGGUUGGGUAGCUUUUGCUAUCUUUUUUCCAUUUGGAUUUUUUAUGCUCCUAAUGUUUUGGGGCAUCACGACAAUUAUAUACCUGCUAAUCCGAUGUCCAGCCCACCUCAUAUUGUGCCAGAAUGGUAUUUGCCACCUAUUCAUGCCGUUCUUCGUAGAAUACCUGACUAAGCGGGAGGUGUAGCCGCAAUAGCACCGGUUUUAUAUGUAUGUUGGCUUUACCCUUUUUAAAAAUAUGUAUGUACGUAGUUCAAGUUUUCGCCCGAUUCACCAAGGAAUAUUUUGGUUGCUUUUGGUGGAUUGCUUACUACUAGGUUGGAUCGGAUGUCAACCUGUGGAGGCACCCUUUGUUACUAUUGGACAAAUUUCUCCUUUAGUUUUCUUCUUGUUCUUUGCCAUAACGCCCAUUCUGGGACAAGUUGGAAGAGGAAUUCCUAAUUCUUACACGGAUGAGACUGAUCACACCUGAUUAGUGAGAAAUUCUGACACCAAUCAUUUAUGAGUGAGUAUUAUACCAAGAAUUUACAAGCAGAUUGAGGAAUGAAGGAAGAGGAAUUAGAAUAGAAAGAAAGAGACGGAUUUCGAAUUAGAGUAAGGGCACGCUAAGACAUUCCUUUUCGUGCUUUCGAUCUGCUUACUUUGAAUAAAGAUAAACAAAUAAUAGAUAGGUAGAAAGGCUUUACACAAGACCACAGAGCGAGAGAGAGAGCCUUCGCUUACUUGCUUAACCUUACCCUCCUAUCAUACCUAUAUAGCCUUUCCUUCAGUUAUAUCCAGUUUCAGUUCUGCUUCCAACUACCGAUGGGAGAAGGCUUGGACGUAUAGCAAGAUUAAAUAAGAGGUAUUGCAUAUGGGAAGGAAAUAUUAAAUGAAAGGUUCGAAGUAGAGCUAGAGAUGAGCGCUAGCCAGAACGAAAUGGACAUAUGAGCGAUCGAUUACGAGAGCUCGACCGAUCAGACCGGGAAGAAGAGAAAGAAAGGUCAAUCUCCGAAAGGCCUUCGCAGAGCUGAGCUUUAGGGGGGAAUACUUUUUGUGGUCUUGCACAUGGAAAAGUCAAGUAUUCUACGCAGGCUUGAUUUACCGG
rnacentral:lncRNA from 1 species